rnacentral:sRNA from 1 species
UAUUAUGUGGUGAUAAUUACACGGGUC